ensembl:lncRNA
GUUUUCAGUAUAACCCUUAGGAAUGAACCUUUUGUAGGGGAGGGAAGGAGUGGGAAAGACAUCAAUUUCCUUGAGAGAGGUGGGGCAGGGGAGCUGCAGAGAGAAAGCUGCUCUGUCUGCAAAGGAAGCCAGAAAGGAAGACAGAGUCUCUUUGAACUUCUCCCCUCCAAGCUGACAGGAAAACUGCAAAAACACCAUCAGACUGGAUCAGGAUGCAGAGGCAGCAACCAGGAAGACGUGGCUCCUUUGAAGGUUGCCCGCUCUGCGCGAAGCAUGCUUCUGGAGGGGAAUCCCAGCUGGUGCGGUUACACAUAAAAUACACCAGAAAAGGACUCGGUGAAGGAGUCUGCCCUUUCAUGCCUCAAUUAUCCAACCUGAGAGAUGGUGAGGUGAAUCUUUACCAGCUGACCAUGACUCCAAAGUCUCCAGAGAUUCUCAAAGAAAUCCUCAGAGAAGACCGAGAUGGGGGCCAGUCUGACUCUUCCUAUGCAUCAGAAAAUCUACCUCCUCCUGAUGAUGCCUUGGGCAGGGCAGCGCCCCCAUGCUAAUGCUGGGGAUGCUGUAUAGACC